UGCUCAGGUCUGUGCUGCACACUGUCCACAGUUUGGGGGAGGGGUGGGACUCUGGAGGACGAGGAUUUGAACCCCGAGGGAGAGAUGCUGAAAGGACAAGAGAAGGAGGCUUCCUCCCAUGGAGCCCAUCUCUCCAGCAGACAAGAAGAUGAGGUGCUUUCAUUUCCUCCUGCAGCAGGUGACGAUUUGGUCCUUUCUUCUCAAUAGUGUUCCCUGGCAGAGCCUUUCCUCACAGUUUUUCUUGAAAUCAGGGCUCACCCUUCUGGUACAUAUGGUAGAGAUGUCUUAAAGCCAUGGUGCUAGUUUUUGUUUGUUCUGUAACAAAUUGCCACAUAGUUAAUGGUUUAAAACAACACAUUUAUUUCCUUACACUUCUGUAUCUUAGAUAUCCAGCAGGGAUCUCACUGGACUGGGAUCAAGGUUUCAGCAGGGCCACAUCACUUCUGAGCCUCUGGGAAAGAAUCUGUUUCGUGUUUUUUCAAGCUUCUAGAAACCGCCUGCCUUCCUUCACUUAAAACCCCAUUCUGUUCAUCAUCAGACCAGCAACGCUCCACUUUAACCAUUAUUCAUAUUCACAUGUCCCUCUAGCCAGAAUGAGGAAAAGUAUUCCACUUUAAAGGAUAGUGAGGCUGAGAAUGUGAUUAGGUUGUGCUCAGGUGGUUAAUCCACCAUAUUUCAGGUGAAUCUCAAGGUCCUUACCUUAAUCACAUAUGUAAAGUCCCUUUUGCCAGAUAAGGAAACAUAGACAUAGGUUCCACAUAGACAUAUGUGGGUCCAUUAUUCUAUCUGCCUCCACAUUAUCCACAUCACAUCCCUUUCAUACACUCUUUAGAUGUUUUGUCAGGAAGCAGGAGUCAGCUCCCUCCCCCUGCAGGUGUCCAGGCUGGUCUUCCUCUCAGUUCUUAUCCACCACAUCAUGGUGGUAGAAAUAUUUAGACAGACACAAAUGGACAAAGUCGGAUAGAAAAGAGACAAGUUUCACUCUGGUCAUCUAAUGGAUUUACUUCCUCAGCUGGGUCACAGAUGAGUGUUCACAAUUUUGGGGAGAGAGGAAAACCCAGAGCACUGAAUGCAGUGCUCACUGUGUCCUGUCUUUUCCAUUUCGAUCUUAGAGUUCCUGGCCCUCAGGAUGGUCAGCGAGGACCAGCAGUGUGCUGGAUGGCUGGAAGUUUUCUACAAUGGGACCUGGGGCAGUGUCUGCCGCAGCCCCAUGGAUGAUGUCACCGUGUCCAUCAUCUGCAGACAGCUUGGCUGUGGGGACAUGUCCUUCUGACCCAUGGAAAUACAGUUCAUGCUCUCCAAAGGAGGAAGCCUACAUCUCAUGUGCAGGAAGAAGACCCAAGAGCUGCCCAGCUGCUGCCCCCUGCACAGACAGAGAGAAGCUCCGGCUCAGGGGAGGAGACAGCGAGUGCUCAGGGCGGGUGGAGGUCUGGCACAGCGGCU